GGAACACAUGUAUACCUGUGGCGGAUUCAUUUUGAUAUUUGGCAAAACUAAUACAAUUAUGUAAAGUUUAAAAAAAUAAAAUUAAAAAAAAAAUUUACCUCUCAGCAAGGAAGAGAGGGAAGGUGUGUUGAAAUGCAGGUUCCCAGGCCCUGGGGAAGCUGGGAAUUUUAGGAAGCUCCUGGGAUAGCCGAGGAAGGUGGUGCAGGACUGCACUUAGAGACGAGCUGUGACAGGGCCACGAAGGAGGCUGGAUGUGUUCCAACCUGUGAUUUGGGACUUUCCACAGUUAAAGAUUCCCUUGACGCUGCUACAGCCUGUGGGCUUCAGAAGUUUUAUCCACCACAGUUUUUUCUACUAAUGAAUCAUUCAGGAAAAAAAAAAAAAGUGAAUUCUGCCUUGUAUCAAUUCAACCUUGCUCUCUGGGAAACUCCAGCCCCCACCCCGCUUCCUGCAUCCCAUCCACUGAAAAUGAUAUUCGUCACUUAUUAAAUCAGUGGUUAGAGAAAGAAAGAAAAUCAUAUCAUCCCCACCCUUUUCCUGAAAGAAGACAGCAUGAGCGUUGUGAAAAGAGCCUGGGCUCCGGGGGGGAGGUCAAUUCCUGGUUCUGUUUCUCUGUAGCUGUAAAUCUCUUGACAAGUGACUGAACUUCUUUAGACUUUAGUUUCCUCAUCUGUCAAAUGGGAAUAAUCAUAAGGCCCUGCUAGGGCUGCUGUGAGAAUGAAAUGACACAUGGUAUGGAGAGGGCUGGGCAAGGGAUUUGCAGAGCAGGGCCUUAAAAAACCAGUGCCUCUCCCUGGCGUUUUUCUUUCCUUUCUCAGAGUUUCUUUUGAACCGAUCAUCUCUGUGUUUUAUACUCUGCACUGAAUAUGCAAAUACUUUAUUGCUAGUGUAUAUGCUGUUCCCAUUGACUGUGUGGCUCUUUCUUUGGUUCUCCAGAAAUACAGAGUGGAAAGAACUCCCCAAAUUAUCUGGAAACCAUACACAUUGACACCUUGACUUAAUUUCAUUGGUCUCUUUCACUCUGGGUUUUGUGUGCAGGGCCGCUAUAUCCAUUAGGCACUGUGGGCAGAAUGCCCAGUGUCUACGGGAACCUUGGAGCACUGAAUAAAAAAUUUUGGCUCCAAAAUACGAAAACUGCAAAGUAGAAAUUAAUAGAAAUGAGUAAACAUUUAGACAAAUGUGCUGGAAACAACACAAUGUCAACCUCAUUAAUUGUUACAUUUAGAUGUCAUAACUAUUUCAUUACAUAUGAAAGCAAUAUAGGUUAGAGUCUUCUCACUUUGCAAAGACUUCUAAAUAUGCUCUGUGAUUGCCAAGAACUCACAGGCAUUUCUAAAUUAAAUGAGUUACUCAUAGUCCAAGCUUUUGAAAAGCUGAGUUAUAUUUUUUUAAAGUGUCCUCGAUUUUUUUCAAGGCAAAAUUGUCCUUAAUAUGGGGCUGUAUGAUUUAGAGGGGAUGAUUUAGACCCGCAUUUUAAAAGCACAAGGCCUACAAAGCUCCAAGAGGUAGAUUUCUGUACCUCAGAGCUCAAAACCUGCCACCUGAGUUCACCCAUUUCGUGCCUUAUCUUCACAGGGAAUUAUGUAUGUUUCUCUGAUUCUUUGUACAUACCGCUUUUAUUCUAACUGGUGGAUUUAGAUUUCCUAUGCAUCUUUCUCAAAUCAGUUUUGGGCUAAAUUAUAAAUUCCAUUAAGGCAGGCAGAGGCCAUGGCUGGCUCUCUUUUAUUUUUUUAACUUUUUAUUUUGUAUGGGGGUAUAACUGGUUAACAAUGCUGUGAUAGUCUCAGGUGAACAGUGAAGGGACUCAGCCAUACGUAUGCACGUAUCCAUCCUCCCCCAGGCUGCCCUCCCACCCAGGCUGGCGAGGCUGCCUCUGUACUGCGGUAGGCCAAGCUCCUAGCAAACCAUCAGCACAUCGAUAAAGCCAAUGAGAGAAUGCACAGGCAGAAGCAAGGAAGGAGGCAUUUAAUUCGAGUUGACCUUUAAAUAAGCUGAAAAGUGGCUCUGAUCUUAUCACCCCUUCACCAGCACACACAAGUCAGAUCCUGCGUCCAGCACGUUAGUCCGUUACGACACAUGUCAGAUAAGACCCCAGGAGGGUCUUGGAGAAUGUCACCAUCUGUCUUCUGUAAUCAUAACUAUCUGUUCACAACCAGUGAGCAUCCGAAGCAUGACUGAGGUCACAUUCAGCUUUUCUGAAGGCAUAACUUGUAUGCAUUUUGGAGAAUUUAGACAACAGGAUAAGUUAACACUCGUAUAGUCUCGAAAGAGAAGAACCAAACUGUUCCUCCUGAGGAACAGAGCCUCCUUUGCAUAUGCUACUGUUUACCACCUUCCCUUCUCUGUGCUACCCGUGAACUUCUGUUCAUACUCUAAAACCUAUUUCAAUGUUCAUCUCCUCUGGAAAGCUUUCUCUGCACCGUUGUAAAUUUCACCUAAUCUUAAGGGAGCUCAUCCAUGCGUGCUAAGUCGCUUCAGUCAUGUCCGACUCUUUGAGACCAACCCCAUGGACUGUAGCCCAGCCAGGAUCCUCUGUCCAUGGGAUUCUCCAGGCAAGAAUACUGGAGUGGGUUGCCAUGCCCUCCUCCAGGGGAUCUUCCUGACCCAGGGAUCAAACCCAAGUCUCUUACAUCUCCUGUGUUGGCAGGUGAGUUCUUGACCACUACCACCAGAGCUCACAGGCACACUGAAGCAGCCCACCUUUAUACUGUGUAUGAUAGACUAGGCUGGGGCACGUUCUGCUUCCGGGUAGCACACAGAAAACUCAAGUAACCCCAUGACAUCAUCCUUAUAAAGACUGCUUCCUACCUUCCAAAAUGAGACAUAGCCCAAUAUUGGCAGGAAAUGAUUCAAAGACUUUAGCCAGGUCUUCCAGGCCCAUUCCUUGAAAGGUAAUAUAAGAACCAUAAAUAGUUGAAGCUACAAUGUUUGUGCCUUCUUAGACGCUGAGUCAUCAUAAAUUACACACACCCAUGCUCACACCCCCCCGAAGCCUUUGGUUAGGGGGCAGAGGACUUCCCUUAUUGGGAUGUGAAGCAUUAUGAAAUCUGGUUGUCCAGGACAGCACUCAGAUACCAGCCAGCUAGCUGCUAUUAGGAGUAUGACUCGUCUACCAACAAGUAAAAAUAGAUUAAAGGAAAUAGAGAAUAUAAACUCUGACUCCACCUCACUUUCCUUUGUUCACUUCCUAGACAGACACAUGGACACACACACACACACAAAACCGUACAUACACACCCUGAAUAAUAUUGGGGAGAAUCAGAGUUUGACAAGGUAGAGGGUACCUUCAGUUUCUCCACUUAUAAAUUCAAUAAAAUAUGACCCUGUUCCAGAAUUGUGCAUUUCUAGAUAGUUCUAAUUUAAUGAAUUUUUCCCUCAAUACGUGGCUCUUUGGGGUAUGUAGAAAAUUGGACUUUCACCUAAAAUCUCUACCUUCAAAGUCAAGAUAAAAUUUUAAUCUUUAGGGACUUCCCUGCUGGUCCAGUGAUUAAGGCUUUGCAUUCCCAAUGCAGGGGGCUCAGGUUAGAUCCCUAGUCAGGGAACUACAUCCCAUAUGCCCCAACUAAGAUCUGAUGCAACCAAAUGAUUUUUUUUUUUUUAAUUUAAAUCUUACACAAAAUUGGAGGUCCUUGAGCAUUUCAAGGACUCUGUGACAUCACUUUAAAAAUGAAAAGUAUUUCUUCACUGUCAAGUCACCCACGCCAGUGGGGUGAGCAAAUUGUAACACCUUCAAACAAAGGUCUCUUUUGUUUGGUCAGUGCCAAAGCCUUCAAACGCCGUUGCAACUGGUUACAAAGCUCAGAGAUAAUGCAUAUUUCUAGGAAUGAUUUAGUCACUUCUUACAGACUCACACCAAAGCAAACAGAGGUAGUGUCCCGUCCUUCUAGAAUGACUUCAUGCUACGUGACUGUGCUUAUCGGAGAGAACGGGUCAGCAUCAUAGGUACUGUAUUGUCUGGGCCGGUAGACAAUGCUCUAUUUGUGAGGGAGAGGAAAGAAUAUAUAAAUUUUGGAGAUUUGAUGGUAAAAUUGAGACACUAUUGGUUGAACACACCUUUAAAGGCAGACUAGUUUGAGUACACUGUGCUCACAGAGGUAGGUGUAGUCAGAAAUGCACCCGGGCGACUUUCCUGGCAGUCCAGUGGUUAAGACUCUGCUCUUCCAUCGCAGGGGGCACAGGUUUGAUCCUUGGUGGGGAGCUAAAAUUCUGCAUGCUGCACAGGGGUGGCCAAAAAAUAGGAGAAAAAGAAAGAAAGAAAUGCACUUGGUUCUGAAUAGCUGUGCCGUAAACCUCGUGGUCCAGGCCCCCAUCCAGAGAGGCAGGCUGCUCCUAUCUAAGUGUGACUCACUGCACAGGUGUGACUCAGGAUAGUAUGUCUUCCUUCCAAGUUGUGACUCCAGCAAUGUGUGACGAGCACAAGGAGUCUCCCCUUAAAGGGAUCCCACAGUAGAUCAACUUUUGGAACAAAGAAUCCCUUAGCAAGGUCAUACUCACAUCUGGUUUAUUUGAAUCAUUUUUAUAGUGCUUGGUUUCCUUAGAGCAGGGCACACUUAAACCAGCUAUUUCUUACAACAGCUUUUUGUUUUCAUGUUUACCACCAAUUAACCUUGAGCAUGUUAUUAAGUUACUCAUUGUUUUAAAGAUCAUUUUAGAUCUAAAGCAGGGGUAACCCGGGGAUCCCUCAGAGCUUGAUUGCACGUUAGGGAUGUUACAUACAUAAUCUCAUGUAGUCCCCCCCAUGGCCUCCUAAGGCGUUCCUCACCGCCUCCACUUCCCAGGGGUGGGCUCUGAGGCCUGAGACAUGACCUCGCUGAUGGAUGUAGUUUUAGGAAAAUGUCGGAUUCAUAUUUGAGCCCACGUCUGUCUGACUCUGAAGCUAAUGACUUUCACAUCCCAGCUAAUGGCUGAUGCUGCCAAGCCCUAAAGUGAGAGGCAUAUUUAAACACUCCUGAGCAAUUCCAGCUCACCAGAGUCCUGGGUGCUAAAAAGCAUCCUGUUGGCCAGAAAGAAUGAAAGUCACUUCCAAAGGCUGCCACCUCGGAUCCAGAGCAUGGCCUGGAGGCUGAGGGAGUCGGAGUCAUGGACCCAGGAUCUACUGCUCCAGGGCAGGCUGACCCUUAGAAGCUCUGAGCAGGUCAUCAGGAUGCUGUAAAGACCCUGGUACUGCCGAGAACACUGCCAUGAUGGCUUUCUCUGCCAUUGGAAACACCAUCUUUUCUAAUGACUUUAAAUCACUCCAAGUGGAUAAAUUCAUUUAAGCAGAUGCAGUCAAUUCUCCCAGAACCUGCUUGCCAGUGAAAGGGGCACCCCCCAAACAUAAGCUCCCCAGAUCUCAAGUUUUGCUUCUCGAAUAAGGAAGUAACUUUCUUUUAGGAGUAUUUAUUUGUGAAGUUAGAGAGGUGAUGUUGUUGCUGUUUAAUAGCUAAGUCGUGUCUGACUCUUUUGCGACCCCCAUGGACUGUAGCCCACCAGGCUCCUCUGUCCAUGGAGAUUUCCCAGACAGGAAUACUGGAGUGGGUUGCCAUUUCCUCCUCCAGGGGAUCUUCCAGAUCCAGGGAUCGAACCCACGUUUCCUGCAUUGGCAGGCGGAUUCUUGACCACUGAGCCACCUGGGAAACCCGAAGUUAGAGAGGUAAUGUCUGAUUUGUUCGCUGUGAAGCCUGUGAACACUGUGCAGUCUCCAUAGCCUGGUGAGGGGGUGGGGGGGGCACGCCCCUGUCAUCACCCAGCUGAAUAACCUCUGAACUUGAGUCCCUUCGACUGUGAAAUGGGGAGUAGGGUUGGGUUGUCGCUUAAUGGUCUUAGCUAAAAUUUUAUGACCCAGAUAUCCUCAUCUGAUUCUUUUCCCAGAGUCUCUUAAAAAGUUUAAUUACACAACCUGGCCUUAAGAUUCUUAAGAAAGAAGAAAAGACAGCUGGGCGUUGAUGUCAGUUUCAGUUGACCCCUCCAUUUGGGCAUGUCCUUCUUACACCCUUCCUUUAGGAUCCCAGCCA